rnacentral:tmRNA from 1 species
GGGGCUGAUAUAGCUUUCGACACAUGGACAUUAACAGGAUAUUCGGCAGGUCGAAUCAUGCACGUAAUGCAUUUACCUAACUGCAAAAACAACCUUUGCAAACGCACUUGCAAACAUUAAGAGCGCUUUCGCUCCUAAGUUGGCAUUUGCGCCAAUCGCCGCUUAGUAUAUGGCGAUCAUUCCCGUGCCCCGGCGACAUGGGUACGGUGAGUGUUAUAUAGCCGUCGCUUACCGUGUGUGUGCGAAGCGGCCAUACAUACGGGACAAUGUGCCGCGUAACGUCGGCGGGUAUUUUGGGCUAUUUAUCAGCCCGCACCGUUAUAAACAAUCCAAAUAGUCCUAUGCCUGUAGAUGAAUAUUCGUUACCAUGUGGACCGGGGGGCAGUACCCCGCAGCUCCACCA